CUCAGUCACUCCCAAGGCCUGCUCCUGGUUUGCUGGGGCCAGGGCUAUAUUGGCAUGCCCUGCCCUGGACUACACUUCUCUCUCACCCAGUUCUGACAGACACCUCCCCCUGACCUUCUAACUUGUCUCUGGCAUCUAUGGGCUGAGAAGUCUGGAAACUGCCACUGCUGCCAAUGAUUCAGUCUCCUGAGGUCUGCUCUGGCUUUACGGGGGCUGGGUCUGUGCUACAAUGGCCUACACUCUACUGCUCUCCUCUCUCAGCCCUGCGCAACAGACCCUUCCUGUUGACCUUCCAGAAGAGGAAACUGAGGCCUCUGGAAGUCGAAUGUUUUGCCCAAGGACACACAGGUGGAAUUACAGACUCAUUGGAAAGAAAAGGCCUCUGGCUAUUUGGUAGCAGGUUAGUCCCUUCCACAACAGAAAAAUGAAUAAUUUCCAGGAGGGUUUGUACAUCAAAUAUGCCUCAUUUAUCUGGUGUUGUCUAAGAAGGAAAUAUUCUAUACAAGUGAAUUUUCAAUAAAUCUGAA